rnacentral:rRNA from 1 species
UGGGGAAUAUUGGGCAAUGGGCGCAAGCCUGACCCAGCAACGCCGCGUGAAGGAAGAAGGCUUUCGGGUUGUAAACUUCUUUUAUUGAGGGACGGAAAGAAAAU